GUCCACGCCUUAAACGAUGAAUACUAGAUGUUCGGAGAGUUAACCCUCUGAGUAUCGAAGCUAACGCAUUAAGUAUUCCGCCUGGGAAGUACGGCCGCAAGGUUGAAACUCAAAGGAAUUGACGGGGCCCGCACAAGCGGUGGAGUAUGUGGUUUAAUUCGAAGCAACGCGCAGAACCUUACCUGGUCUUGACAUCCCUUGAUCGCUGCAGAGAUGUAGUUUCCACUUCGGUGGCAAGGAGACAGGUGCUGCAUGGCUGUCGU
rnacentral:rRNA from 1 species